rnacentral:rRNA from 1 species
AGCAUUAUACCGUGAAACUGCGAAUGGCUCAUUAAAUCAGUUAUCGUUUAUUUGAUAGUACCUUACUACUUGGAUAACCGUGGUAAUUCUAGAGCUAAUACAUGCUAAAAACCCCAACUUCGGGAGGGGUGUAUUUAUUAGAUAAAAAACCAAUGCCCUUCGGGGCUCCUUGGUGAUUCAUGAUAACUUCUCAGAUCGCAUGGCUUUACGCCGGCGACGGUUCAUUCAAAUUUCUGCCCUAUCAACUUUCGAUGGUAAGGUAUUGGCUUACCAUGGUUUCAACGGGUAACGGGGAAUUAGGGUUCGAUUCCGGAGAGGGAGCCUGAGAAACGGCUACCACAUCCAAGGAAGGCAGCAGGCGCGCAAAUUACCCAAUUCCGAUACGGAGAGGUAGUGACAAUAAAUACUGAUACAGGGCUCUUUUGGGUCUUGUAAUUGGAAUGAGUACAAUUUAAACCUCUUAACGAGGAACAAUUGGAGGGCAAGUCUGGUGCCAGCAGCCGCGGUAAUUCCAGCUCCAAUAGCGUAUAUUAAAGUUGUUGCAGUUAAAAAGCUCGUAGUUGAACCUUUGGCCUGGCUGGCAGGUCCGCCUCACCGCGUGCACUUGUCCGGCCGGGCCUUUUCUUCUGGAGAACCGCAUGCCCUUCACUGGGUGUGUUGGGGACCAGGACUUUUACUUUGAAAAAAUUAGAGUGUUCAAAGCAGGCCUUUGCUCGAAUACGUUAGCAUGGAAUAAUAAAAUAGGACGUGCGGUCCUAUUUUGUUGGUUUCUAGGACCGCCGUAAUGAUUAAUAGGGACAGUCGGGGGCAUCAGUAUUCAAUUGUCAGAGGUGAAAUUCUUGGAUUUAUUGAAGACUAACUACUGCGAAAGCAUUUGCCAAGGAUGUUUUCAUUAAUCAGUGAACGAAAGUUAGGGGAUCGAAGACGAUCAGAUACCGUCGUAGUCUUAACCAUAAACUAUGCCGACUAGGGAUCGGGCGGUGUUUCUAUUGUGACCCGCUCGGCACCUUACGAGAAAUCAAAGUGUU